rnacentral:lncRNA from 1 species
UAUUUAAUAUUUUUAUAAUAUAUUUUUAUUUUGUAAUCUAUGAAUAGAAAAAGAUCGAAGCUUACCGCUGCGUUAAAUUUGGCUUUUGAAGAGACCGGCCUAGAACAGUAACAACAAAACAUGAUGAAAGUGGAUAUUGGUCUUCUUUUUUUUUUUUUUUUUUUUUUUUUUUUUUUUUUUUUUUUUUUUUUUUUUUUUUUUUUUUUUUUUUUUUUUUUUUUUUUUUUUUUUUUUUUUUUUUUU